ACGUGACACCAGUGUGCCUGGCAUGGUCUGAGGUGCGUCUCUAGCCGUUAGCUACGCUGAACAAGCUAACUGUUGGACUAGGGAUCAGAGAAGCGUAAUUUGAUGGGCCGCUGGACUCUCGAUGACCAGACAGUCCACAUUUGCAGGCGAGUUUUUGCAGCUGCUUUCCGCCUAAAGGCCAGCAGCGGCACAUGAGGGUCCAGACAGAGAUCUCCUCCCCGGAAUGAUGAGUCUUUAUCGGCGCAGACAGAAGCCCCCAGCAGUACUUAAAGAAGCUUUUGUUUCUGAGCUGAGCCAAAAGCCAAAUCUACGUUCCCACACUCAUCUGUGGUCACAAGCUUCGGUCAGUGACCGAAAGAACAAAUCAUGGAUAUAAGCAACAGAAAAACCGCAAGAAGCUGUGCGGAGGGGACUUCUGCUGCCCACCUUGCUGAAGCUCCAGUGUUUGCUGCCUCUGAUUAGUCCGGCCGUAAUCUCACACA